rnacentral:misc_RNA from 1 species
GAUGAAGAACGCAGCGAAAUGCGAUAAGUAAUGUGAAUUGCAGAAUUCAGUGAAUCAUCGAAUCUUUGAACGCACAUUGCGCCCCCUGGUAUUCCGGGGGGCAUGCCUGUUCGAGCGUCAUUUCACCACUCAAGCCUCGCUUGGUAUUGGGCAACGCGGUCCGCCGCGUGCCUCAAAUCGACCGGCUGGGUCUUCUGUCCCCUAAGCGUUGUGGAAACUAUUCGCUAAAGGGUGUUCGGGAGGCUACGCCGUAAAACAACCCCAUUUCUAAGGUUGACCUCGGAUCAGGUAGGGAUACCCGCUGAACUUAAGCAUAUCAUAAGCCGGAGGA